rnacentral:antisense_RNA from 1 species
GGCAAAACGUCCGCCCGGGCCCGAGGCGGGCGGAGGCAGCUGUGGUUACGUGCGGGGGGCCGGUGACGCAGUCGCGGGGCGCUGGGACGCGGCUUGCGGAGCCGGCCGGCGAGCGCAGGCCCCAGGCUCGGGCGCGGCGGCGGGACAGCACCUACCUUCCCGGCUUCGGGUCCGGGAGUGCGGGGCGCGGAGCCGCCGGAGCGCUGCCUCCCUCCUUCCUCCUCCCCUCGCCCCCGCCCCGCGGCGCGACACACAAUACUCGCCGGAAGCGGAAGCCGCGCCGAGGCUCGUGUCAGUGGAAGCUGGGGUGUCGGCGGGCGGCCGCGGCCGGGUCUAGCGGUGCCUGCGGAAGAAGGAGGAGGAGGGCUGGCGAUGAGAAGCAGCAGGAGGAAUCAAGGGCAAGAAGGGACCCAGAGGGGCAGGUGGCUGAGAUGCUGGCGUCCAGGUGACCCGAGGAAUCCUCUGGAGAUACAGGCCCGCGCAUGCGCGUGCUCGAGCGCUGAAGCCCAUUGCCCGCAGGGCGCUGGACUGGCGCCCCGGCCGGCGAGGCUGUCUAGUCCAGGCUCCAGGCCCCGGCUCUGGCCAGGCGCCGCCGCCUCCCGGUGCAGCUGAAAGUCGACGAAGAGGGCGGGGCGGGGCGGCUUGUGGACUUCCACACUUUUCCUCUCUUCGGGCCAGUCCGGGGAGAGGGUGGCUAGCUGUGGCGGCGGCCAAUUACGUGGCGGACCUGCGGGGCUAAGCUGGCACGUCACUUCCGACUAGUGGAGUUUUUAGCCUUUUAACAUUCAAGGAUUAGAGCUCCCUCUUUGCCCACUAGCAGGGCAUUAGCUGGUGCUGAAGACAGUGGCUGCUUGGCGAGCCUGGAUCUCCAAGUGACUCCAAGUGACCCCCUCAGCAACUCCUGAUGAACAGGACUGAAGCCAAUAUUAAAGCAAGUCAACCAAAGAUUCUCUGGUGUAGACAAGACAGCAAAAGGACAGACUACCUUGUGGAACCUAGCAUUGUUCUCCUUCUGCAGCACUAAGUAACAUUUGUGCUCCGUUAAGAUCUUUGCAAACCACACACAAGAAUUGCUGGUCAUCCUGCCAAUAGAUGCUGCUCACAGAACCAAAUUUCCUGUGCUGAAUUGUCACUCAUGGGCUUGAGAGUAGGAGACUGGAGACCAAGGUGGCUAGAAUCCAGUUGGGCCUGAUGUCUCCCUGUUGAAAGGGCUCCUUGUGGAAUAAACAGCACAUGGCUCCCGUGGUGGAUCUGAUAGUGGCACAGCACCAAGUGAUGCAGGCCUGCCAGGGGCCACAGACACAGAAGAUGCUCCCAGGGUCCCCCGUGUACUCCAGACACACUGCAGGCCACCUCUCCCAGCAGGUUGCCAGUCAUGGGCCCCAUCAUCAUGACUUCUGUCCAAGGUGUGCUCGGAAAUCUCUUCCUUAACUGUGACUUUCUGACAGGUGGAGGAUGUGGUCAGGAGUGGGAAAAGGAUUCGAGACGGGAAGAGGGAGGGGUUCAGGAUGAAGAGAGAUAAUCUGUGCCACAGAUGCUGGCCCUGCAGUUAGCUCCCACCUAGUCCGUGCACACACAUUCUAAUCCCCUCGCAUUCCUCUACAUGCUGCAGCCAGAGAGGCCUUUCUCAAAGUGGAAGUCGCAUCCUCACUUCUCUGGUUACAGUGCUGGGCCAUGGGUAACUUACAAGGCUUAGCAGGAACUGUCUGCGCACUCCCCCUUCCUGCCCACUGCCUUGUUUCCCUCCAGUUGCGAGAGCAAACAUUGAUUGAGCAUUAACUAUGUGCCAGGCUUGUCCUAAGUCCUUUGCAUGUAUUCACUCAAACAAUCCUCACAACAUUCCUCUCACAUCUCCCAUUUCACAGUGAGGGUUCUAAAGCACGUAGUGGGUGAGGAACUUGUCCGGGGUCACACAACUAAGUGGGGGUGGAGAAACAUCAAAUCUGAGUGGUCCAGGUGGUGGCCAGAACCCAUCAGCACCUCACUACAGCUGCCUCCAGUUUCUCGCUCUAGGAAAUACUCUUCCCUGUCAACUCCUGUUGUCCUCUGGGCUCAGUUGACAUGUCAUCUCCUUGAGGAGGACAUCCUGAGAUGCUCCCCAACUAGGGUGGGCACCCACUUCCACACUCCAAAUGCCUAUUUGACCUGUGUAUCGCUGCAUCCCCACUGCCUGGCAGAUAGCAGGCCCCUAAUAAAUAUGAUUUGAGCAAAUAAAUAUAGUUCUUCAAAAAAUAGGGAGGACUUCUUGUUUCAGGUAAUGGUAGGCUAGGACAUUUGGACCAACCCUCCUGCAGAAAAUAGCCAUUUAUUUUGAUGCAAUAUAUCUGGCUAUGACUAGAGAUUUCAAAUAUUUGGAGGGCUAUUAUGUGAAGAAUUAAACUUACUCUUUGUGACAUAGAGGUCAGAAAUUGGUCAUUUCCAUAGAGUAUGAGAGACACAGAAUUGUGCUCAUCAUAAGUAUCUUUUUUAAAAAUUAGACUUAAUGAAAUGGGCUGCCUUGGUAGGUGGUGAGUUCUCUGUCACGAAAGAGAUUCAGCCACUUGCUCUGAGAAAGCAUGGAGAAUAUCAACAUUGUAAGGGUCGACCACCUCAUCUCUGAGGCCCCCUCCUCACUUAGGUUGCCAUUGCAGGUGGAACACUGGGCUGAGUGUCAAAGAACCUGGGUUCCACAAGCUGUGCAACCAUGGCUGGUUGUUUUGGAUCUCAUUCCUAAUAUCUGUUAGUUAAGCUGACCCGUCGAUACUGACCCACUUCACAGAGUUAUGAAGGGAUUAAAUUAGGUAUUACAUAUAAAUCUUUGUUUUGUUUCCUUUUUGUUGUUUUUUUGUUUUGCUUUUUUCUUUGCAUUAUGGAAAUCCCAAGUCAACUUUUUCCAUUCUUUUAUUUUUUUAAAAAUUGACAUCAUCAUUAUAACAACAAAAUAAUUUUUAAAAUGGAAAAAAAAAAAAAAACUCACCUGCAACCCCACAAUCUAAUACAUUAAUCAUACUUUUUUCCCUUUAUUCUCCUUUAUUGUGACCAAGGAUGACUUUGGGCAUUGCUGUGAGGAACUAUUUCGUUUAACACCCUACUACCUGAACAUGAUGCGUACUCAGCCUUUCACCACCCCCCAAGUAGCUACACAUGAUAUGAUAAUAGUAUUGGUGGUGGUUUUAGAGAGUUGGAGAGAAAACUGAAGUUGGAUUUGGGUAAAAGAAAAAAGAGUGGGAAUUAUUUUUUCUCCAUUCUAAAGCCCAUAGAGCAAUGUUAAUUGUUCCCACCCCUCUGCUAUUCUGUUUCCUCAGGUACUGUGUGCAGAAAUGUGAUUGAGAUUCAAGUCAGGGCCUCUCUGCCCUUUUCCCUCCAGAAACAAAACCAAGAUAAUUUAUCCUGAACACGGUGAAAAAAGGAAGGGAGGGAGGAGAAAAAGUCCGGGUCUCACCUGGGAUUCUCUGUCUCCUGCAACAUGAAGGAUUUAGCCUGGGAGGAGGUGGUGAGAACUCUGGGAGAGAAAAAAGAAGGAAAGAAUAGUUUUACCCAUGCUGAAGUUAAUUUAAACCUUCACCUAGAGAAGCAAAAAAACCCCCACACUUUUCCAUUUUGUGCCUCCCUUCCUAGAGUUUUAGCCAAAGGUUUAGCUAAGUAAUUGGUUUUACCAGGGCACUCACUCUUCCUAUCCCGAGUCUGUUUGACUCCCUCCCCAUCAUCCUCCUCACCUCUUUUCAGGCAGGGUGGGGAUAGCAGCAGGAGGAGAUUUUGGGAGCCUGGCAACUCCUGCAAGGACCGCAGGACAGCCCCUCUGUGGGGAUGCGUGGUGCCCCAUCUGCCGCCCUUCUGAAGAAUGCACUGCCUUCACUUUUUACUGUGUUAGAGUCCAUCCAGACUGUUCUAUCCAAAAAAGAGUUUCUUUUUCCCCCACAGGCAAUCAGGAAAUGAUUCCUUUCCCAACUGCUUCUGUCUAGUGCCUGGGAAUCUUGAGUCAAUCCCUCAGUAAGUCAGUGACUAUAGAAAUCCCUCUCUGAGCCUCCCAGUUCAUGUUGCUUAGGGAACCUGAUAUUUUCAUGAAACCUGCCUACACAUGGGCAGCCCAACAGCAGAACAAAUGGUGGUGACCAAAGUGAACAAAGAAGUAUAGUUGUGCCAGCUUCGUAGUUGCCCAUGUGGACAAGUCAGCAGGAUCAGGACACGAGGAAGAGUAAAUGUGAGACAGUCAAUGUGACUUCUGCGAUAAACAGAUUUUUAAACCCCGAAAUUUUGCAAAAUUUUGGUGAAACCUGAACUUUCUUCGUUGCAUAUACUGGCACUAUCUGUACCAUCAUACAACUGUCUCACAUUAAAGCUAUUUUUCUUGGGCACUGAUGAGCAAGGUUGGUAUGUUUGAGUUCCUCAGAUCAACAAAAACCCAUUUUCCUAUAAGUCUUACAUUUAGUAUUUAAGGAACUAAAACUUAAAUACAUUUUGUGAAAUGGUUGACACUUCACUGAUAAUGAUUUAUUGCUUGGAUUAAUAAAUUUUCCAAAAGUUGUCUUAUUAUGUAGAAUAUGGUUUGCAACCAGCAGAACCAUUAAUCUAUACUGCAAUGAUAUGCACUAUGUAUAAUUGUUUAAAAGCCUCUACUUAAUGAUGUAAAAUGCUCUAUUUAAUUACACAUUUGGGUAAACUGUAUACUAACAUCUGAUGGCAUUUUUCCACUGUUUGUUGCUUUUUUCAAAUACUUUAUUGUACAAAGCUGUUCUUAAUAUUGUUCAAGUUUUUUUUCUUUGAAUUUUGCUAAUGUUUUCCUUGAAUUAUGAGCACUGACAGAAUGUGCUUAGCACUUUUGGCUAUUCACACAGCUUUUGAGCAUGAUUUGCAUCCAAUAUUUACAUUGCUAGCAAUAAUAAGCCAUCUGUGAGUUUUGUCAAAA